CGUCUUUUUGUCUUUCAGGGUCGCACCCGCGGCAUAUGGAGGUUUCCAGGCUAGGGGUCAAGCUGGAGCUGUAUGGCCUACGCCACAGCAAUGUGGGAUCCAAGCUGUGUCUGAGACCUACACCGCAGCUCACGGCAAUGCCAGAUCCUUAACCCACUGAGUGAGGCCAGGGACCGAACCUGCAUCCUCAUGGAUCCUAGUCAGGCUUGUUACUGCUGAGCCAUGAUGGGAACUCCCUGCAUGAUCUCACAUUUUACCACUUAUCUGAGGAGGCAAAAUUAUCAGUGACUUCUACGCCUAACUGCCAGAAGCAUGCUAGUGCUCAGGAAAAGCACAGUUCCUAAAGCUUAAGAAAGACUCUGUGGCCUUAAAUAAACAUGAGAUAUCUUCACCUUCUCAUUUUAACAGAGUCAGGUCUCUCAUCUUACCAAUUCUCAAAAUACAUGGUUCCUUUUUACAUACAUACACAAACACUUUUAAAUAUAAAUACCAAAGUCAAGAGAAUCAGAUGGGUAGAGAAAUGUGGGAAGCCAAGAUCAAGAAGAAAAGGCCAAUCACCAGAUUUUACAAAUGAUCAUCUGAACUCCUUCUCUGGACACUGAACUUGAUAUAUUAUGCUAAAUACCCCAUGUCACAUGGUCCACAAGGUCUUCCUUUAGAAUUCGGAACCAAUCAAUAGCCAUACUUGUCAUUAAGAUGGGUCCUGCCAUCUCCACUUUGGCCUAGACCAGAGCAAAAAGAAAAAAAGAAAGACAGAUAUAUUCACGUUUCCAUGUCAGGAGGGAAAAGAUAUCCAGACAACGGAUAGAGAUGUGACUUUUUGUACACAAUUUCAAAACACAAAUACAGUCUUCUUUUCACCUCUUCCCUAACAUUUAUCAGCAGGUAAAAAAGCAAACAUUUUAGUGACUAUAAUUUCUAUUAAUUAUUAGUUUAUUAGAAACCCAAUCCAAAGAAAAAGCAACCUGUGAUAAGCACAUGGGCAAACAGGCUCUCAUGUAUUACUUUACAGAUGUAAAGUUUAUGAACAUAAACUAGUAUAAUCCCUAUAAAAUGCAAUUCUAGUAUCCUAAAAAUGUUCGUAGCCUCUGAUCCAGCAUGUAGACAUGUGUGAAUUUUUUCCAUACCUUGACACUUGCAAAUUUACAUAUAAUUGAGGUUACUUAUUGCAAACUUGUUUGUAAUCGCAAAAUUCUAGAAACAUAACAAAUAUUCAUUGAAGGAACUGGUUAAAUAAGUAAAGACAUAUCCAUACCAUAAAAAAGAACUAGCUACCAUAUUAAAAAAAAAAAAAUCUGUAAGUAGCUAUGGAAAGGUUCCCAUAUAGUAUUAAGUACAAAACAGUAGGGUAUAGAAUAUGCUUCUGUUUGUGUUAAAAAAAAAAUUUUUUACCCAGUUUACAGACAAUUUAAAAUACGUGCAGGAGUUCCCAUCAUGGCGCAGUGGAAAUGAACCCGACUAGGAACCAUGAGGUUUCGGGUUCAAUCCCUGGCCUCGCUCAGUGGGUUAAGGAUCUGGCAUUGCUGUGAGCUGUGGUGUAGGUUGCAGACGAGGCUCAGAUCUGGCCUUGCUGUGGCUGUGCCAGCAGCUACAGCUAGGAUUAGACCCCUAGCCUGGCAACCUCCAUAUGCCGCUGGUGCAGCCCUAAAAGGACAAAAGACAAAAAUAAAUAAAAUAAAAUACAUGCAAAAGUAAAGAGAAAAAUAUAAUGAACCUCCAUGUAGUAGCACCCAGCUCUAACAACUGUCAGUAUGUGUCACAUCCUGCUUUAUCUAUCGCCCUUCCCCUAUCUUCCCACGUCCUGCGCCACUGGACCACUUUAAGGCAAACCCCAGGGAUCACUCCAUCUGUGAACACUUCUGUACACACAUACAGUCUUCUUUUCACCUCUUCCCUAACAUUUAUCAGCAGGUAAAAAAGCAAACAUUUUAGUGACUAUACUUUCUAUUAAUUAUUAGUUUAUUAGAAACCCAAGCCAAAGAAAAGACUUCUAAAAAACACAACUCAACUUCACUCGCAUUUUUAAAAAAUUAAUAAUGAUUUCUCAGUAUCAUCAAAUACCUAGCUGGGGUUCAACAGUAUCUGACUGGCUUAUAAUUUUUUUUUAAACAGUUGUUUGUUUGAAUAAGGAUCCAAACGGAAACCACAAAUUAUAUUUGGUUGAUGUAUCUCAUUAUUCUCUUUAGCUCUUUUCAUCUGUUCCCUCACCAGGGAGACUUUUCUACUACAUAUUCUUGUCAUGUUCCUAUAAUGAACCUUAAACAUAUACUACCUCUUCAAAAACCUAAAUAAAUACAACUUAGAGGAAAAGAAAAGUAAAAACCAUCUACCUUCAGGUGGGACCCACACACAGUAAUCUGGGUCAUCUUCUGGAUAUUUGGAGGAAAGUGUCGGUGGAAGCUACAGAGAAAAGAUCAAUUAUUUCAGUCAAAAGAAUUUUAUCUCUAGGAAAUAGUGUCCCUAUCACUGUCAGCAAACGAAAACUAAGAACAGUUUCCACUAGUGACCUUGACAUAAGUAAUCAAAAAUGGGGAGAAUUCUCUCUCUGAACCUUGAUUUUUUUCCCCAAAGCCUCAACAAGCUGAUUUUCAGCCAGUGAGAGUGAAGUGAUGGGUUUUUUUUUAAAGGGGCAGCAAGACAGGUAUGACUCCUAAAUGAUAUAAGCCCCCCAAAGGGAAAAUCUGACAUUUGCCUUUUGAUCCAGGUGCAGAAGAGAGUUUCAAAGGACUGCUAUCCUGUGAAAGGACUGUUUGGAGUUCCCUGGUGGCCUAGUGGUUAAGGACUUGGCAUUGUCACUACUGUGGCUCAGGUUUCAGUCCUUGGCCUGGGAACUUCCACAGCCAAAAAAAAAAAGGCCUGUUUAAAAACCCUGUUGGGAGUUCCUAUCACGGCUCGGUGGAAACAAAUAUGACUAACAUCCAUGAGGACACAGGUUUGAUCCCUGGCCUUGCUCAGUGCGUUAAGAAUCCGGCGUUGCUGUGAGCUGUGGUGUAAGGUUGCAGACGUGGCUUGGAUCCUGCGUUGCAUUGGCUGUGGCGUAGGCCAGUGGCUAAAGCUCCGAUUCAACCCUUAGCCUGGGAACCUCCAUAUGCUGUGGUACAGCCCUAAAAAGACAACAAAUAAAUAAAUAACGGGCCUAUUGGGUGGCAUCUGGGAACCUGGAUUUCGGGAGGGUUCUUACCACCCUAACUGACAAGAGUGGCCCACUGGCCCGAAACAGUUCAAAAAAACAAUGCGGUUUAGGAGUUCCCUUGUUUCAGCAGGUUAAGGGUCUGGCAUUGGCACUGCAGUGGCUUGGGUUGCUGCUGUGGCAUAAGUUCAAUCCCUGUUCUGGAACUUCUGCAUGCUGUGAGCGUGGCCAAAAAAGAAAAGAAAAAAGAGAACAAUGUGGUUUAUGGUGAACGCCGGCUUUUCCUCUAGGACAACGGAAUUUCCACUGCAUAGAUGCCAGGUAGGGGUGUCUGUUUGACCAGUCCCCAGUAUAAAUCCUGGAUACCAGGUCGCUAAUGAGCUUCCCUUGGUUUCACAAGUUGUCACUCAUUGUUAGGAGAAUUAAGCACAUCUUAAGGACCCUUGGAAGCUUGUACCUGGCUCCCCAGACUGCACUCCAUGUGCCCUUCCCCUUGGCUCCUUGUGCUUAGUGUCCUUUUGAUGUAAUAAAUCCUGGCUGGGAAUUCCACCACUCGCCAAGUCCUAUGACGCCUCUUGUGAAUUACCUAGCCUGAAGGCAGUGUGAGGGACAUCCCAACACAACCCAGCGAUUCCACUCUGGGAACGUACUGUAUCCAUACAAAAGUAUACAUACACACGGUUAUUCCUUAUAGCACUAUUGCAACAAAAGACCGGAAAGAACUCAAGUGUCCACUGAUACAGAACUGGUUCAACAGAGAGUCCCUGUGCCGUAGGAAGGUCUCGGUGUGUUCAUACACGGUGGUUUCUACCACAGGUUAAAAAAAAAAAAUUGAGAUGUAGAGUGCAGUAUAGUACAUAUUAACUUUUGUGUAAUAAAAGGAGAAAACGAGAAUAUAUUAUUCAAAUGUCUUUGUAUGGCCUACUAGGAAAAGAACAAAGAUUCAUAAAUUAAUAAAAGGAGUAUGUGAGCAAUUAUAGGGAACAAGGUAGGUGGAGACAAGAAUAGCAAAUUCAAAAAAAUUCAAAAAUAAAAAUAAAAGAGCCCAAAUUUCUAGAAGAGGAGGUAAAAAGGCAGCUGGGAAUUCCGUUAAGACCUAGAUUCACUCUUUCGGAUAUGGUCCAUGACAAGGGGAUAAUUUUUACUUCCAGAGAAUAGAAGAUUGUGACUAAAGUACUUACUUUGCCUGGACCAGGAGCUUUCUUUUUCUUCAAUUCAUCUCUGCUUUUCUCAUAUUCAUUCUUUAAUGCUAAUUUAUGAGAAAAAAAAAAAAAAGGAAAGAGGUGAUAGCUAUUUCAGAAAAAUAGAAAAAUCCCUCCUAAAAGACCAUCAUAAUUAUUGAAAAAACAUGUCACAAUCUAGGUCUCAGAAAUUCCUUCCUACCUUCCUACUAAUAUAAAGACUAUAUAUAGAGAACUGUCCCUUCAUCGAUAGCCUCGUUUUCAAAUCCUAAGCUUGAAUUUAAUCACAGCUUUUGAAAAGGUUAGAGGAAAAUGGGGCUGACUUGACUAUUGUACAAUUUAAUCAUUACAGUUAGAAGCAGCAGAAGACCUAUAAACAACAAGGUCCUACUGUACAGCACGGGGAACUACAUCCAGUCUCCCGGGUCAGACCAUGAUGGAAAAGAAUAUAAAAAAAGAAUCUGUAUAUAUGUAGAACUGAGUCACUUUGCUGUACAGCAGAAAUUGGCACAGCAUUGUAAAUCAACUAUA
ensembl:lncRNA